UGGAAAAUAAAUUUGUGUUUAAGCCACUCACUUUAUGAUAUUUUGUUAUGUCAGCUCCAGCUGACUAAGACACCAAAUAAAAAGGGAAGGAAGAGUAUUCCAAAGAGAAGCAAUAGCUUAUGUAAGUGAAAUGAGACUUAACAGAACAAGGUAUAAGUAGGGAACCAGCAGUAGUUCACCAGGGCUGAAGCACAGGGUAUUUGUGGGGGAGCAGUGGUAAAUAGACCAGAAAGACGCCAAAAUCUAGAUGCUUGGAUCUCCUAGAAUUGCUGAGUUAACCAGUCCUGGGGUUGCCUGACCAGGAUUUUGUAAAGUACUGUGAGGAUAAUUCUGGUGUAACUGGAAUUUUGCCAUAGUGUCUGCCUUGCAC
rnacentral:lncRNA from 1 species